rnacentral:tRNA from 1 species
GUCCAGGGACGGGAACCGAACCCACAGUGUUCCGCUUACCGGGCAGAUGCCAUGUCCACUAGGCUACCCUGGA